AGUGAACGCUGGCGGCGUGCCUAAUACAUGCAAGUCGAACGGAGAUUAAGUAGCUUGCUAUUUAAUCUUAGUGGCGCACGGGUGAGUAAUAUAUAGCUAACUUGCCCAUUACUAAGGGACAACAGUUGGAAACGACUACUAAUACCUUAUACUCCGUAUCUAUAUAAGUAGAUACGGGAAAGUUUUUCGGUAAUGGAUAGGGCUAUAUCGUAUCAGCUAGUUGGUAAGGUAAUGGCUUACCAAGGCUAUGACGCGUAACUGGUCUGAGAGGAUGAUCAGUCACACUGGAACUGAGACACGGUCCAGACUCCUACGGGAGGCAGCAGUAGGGAAUAUUGCUCAAUGGGGGAAACCCUGAAGCAGCAACGCCGCGUGGAGGAUGACACUUUUCGGAGCGUAAACUCCUUUUCUUGGGAAAGAAUUAUGACGGUACCCAAGGAAUAAGCACCGGCUAACUCCGUG
rnacentral:rRNA from 1 species